UACGAGGGGGGCAAGCGUUGUUCGGAGUUACUGGGCGUAAAGGGUGUGUAGGCGGUUCUCUAAGUUUGGUGUGAAAUCUCCCGGCUCAACUGGGAGGGUGCGCCGAGAACUGGGGGGCUAGAGUGCGGGAUGGGAGAGUGGAAUUCCUGGUGUAGCGGUGAAAUGCGUAGAUAUCAGGAGGAACACCUGUGGUGUAGACGGCUCUCUGGACCGCAACUGACGCUGAGACACGAAAGCGUGGGUAGCAAACAGG
rnacentral:rRNA from 1 species